rnacentral:rRNA from 1 species
GAUGAACGCUGGCGGCGUGCCUAAUACAUGCAAGUCGAGCGAACAGACGAGGAGCCUGCUCCUCUGACGUUAGCGGCGGACGGGUGAGUAACACGUGGAUAACCUACCUAUAAGACUGGGAUAACUUCGGGAAACCGGAGCUAAUACCGGAUAAUAUAUUGAACCGCAUGGUUCAAUAGUGAAAGACGGUUUUGCUGUCACUUAUAGAUGGAUCCGCGCCGCCUUAGCUAGUUGGUAAGGUAACGGCUUACCAAGGCAACGAUGCGUAGCCGACCUGAGAGGGGGAUCGCCCACACGGGGACUGAGACACGGUCCGGACUCCUACGGGAGGCAGCAGUAGGGAAUCUUCCGCAAGGGGCGAAAGCCUGACGGAGCAACGCCGCGUGAGUGAUGAAGGUCUUCGGAUCGUAAAACUCUGUUAUUAGGGAAGAACAAAUGUGUAAGUAACUAUGCACGUCUUGACGGUACCUAAUCAGAAAGCCACGGCUAACUACGUG